AUUGAACGCUGGCGGCAUGCCUUACACAUGCAAGUCGAACGGUAACGGGCCUCCGGGUGCCGCCGAGUGGCGCACGCGUGAGUAAUACAUCGAAACGUGCCCGUGCGUGGGGGGUAACGAGUCGAAAGCUUUGCUCAUAUCCCACACGAUUUACGGGUGAGAGCAGGGGGCCGCAACGCCUUGCGCGGACCGAGCGGCCGAUGGCUGAUUAGGUAGUUGGUGGGAUAAAAGCUUACCAAGCCGACGAUCUGUAGCUGGUCUGAGAGGAUGAUCAGCCACACUGGGACUGAGACACGGCCCAGACUCCUACGGGAGGCAGCAGUGGGGAAUUUUGGACAAUGGGCGGAAGCCUGAUCCAGCCAUGCCGCGUGCAGGAUGAAGGUCUUCGGGUUGUAAACUGCUUUUGGACGGAACGAAGAGCCGUCUUUUAAUACAUUAGUGUCAUGACGGUACCGUAAGAAUAAGCACCGGCUAACUACGUG
rnacentral:rRNA from 1 species